CGCCUGUGUCCCCUUGGGGAGCAUUCAAAUUGUUUCCAUGGGUGAUUAUAUUUUUUUGGAACCCUUUCAGGAUUUGUUCCAUUACAUUCAGGCUGAUUUCCAGAAAUAUUUUAAUAUUCAAACAGAUAUUGCUGCGUUCGUGCCUUCGUUUGCAAAUAAAAAUCAGAGCUGUGGCAAAUCAAGGGAGGAAGCUGCGAUUCGAGCUGUACCAUUCAAAUCACUUUUUGGUUAUGAAAUGCUGAUCACUGAGCCCAGAUUACUUCCGAUGGAAGCUGUUGAUAUUCAGGUGGCCUUUCUUCCUCAUUCUGUCUUUGUUUCAGAGACACCUGACAGGAUAUUAAUGUUUAGAUAUGCAAAAUAUACCCUUAUUUUCAACAUUAAUCAUCAGAGCUGCUGAUUUUUUUCACUGACUUCUCAAAGCAGAGCUAGAGAAAUGUGUUCACGGGAAGAUAAGUGAAAUGCAUGACAUUUCUGUCCUGCCAUUGAAGGCAGAAGUUAAUCUCUUCGCCCCGUGAGUUCGAGACAGACCAAAUGCGCUUUGAAAGCGAGGAGUUAAAUACUGCAGAAGGCUGGGGCUGCACCGUACCCCCUGCAGACAUUUCACUCGGCAUUUAUGGCACCGCCAUACACAGGGGUUUUGGUUCUGCUCUGUUUUCCUCCCACCGCCCAAAGAAGAGCCCCCUUUUGCUGCUAACGCUAUCGAAUCCAAAAGGGGAAGAAGCCCAUCCACCUCAGAGAGCGGCGCUUCAGCAUCCUCACCACCUGCUGGCAAGACCCAACCGUGCCACGCGUUCCCCCUCAGCUUCACUCCAAAGCCCUUCAUUUGUGUUCCAUCCGCCCCGGCUACACGUAGGUCAGCUGUAGGUUCCUCUGCCCUUUGCCCACUCGCCAACACAGGUUUCUAAUGUUCUGCUUCAGUCUUUGGAAGACCGUCAUGGCUUGGAUGUGGCAGAAUAGUUGCCCCGUGCUCACACUUUGUGGGCCCUGACCCAACUUCCACCAGCGCAGUGCUGCCGAUGGAUUCCAACGGUUUGACGCAACGGCACUACAGGAACAAAAAUAACCCAACAUCUGGCCCCGUUCUGAAUGCACACAUGGGAAAGUAAACCUCGGCGAGCCCGGUGCUGUUAACUCCACUGCUGUGACUGCAGCUGAGGGAAGGGUUUGAUAACCAACGCAGCAGAAGAUACGGAAUCUCCAGCUCCCACCUACUCCUUCAGCAUCGUGGCUGGAAAACCUCCAGACCACAGAAUCCUGGAGGGGAUUGGGAAGAGAGGCCCGGAGCCCACAGCCUGGGAUGCGGCUUGGGUCUGCUUGGUGAUCUCUGUUCGCAGCAGCUCAGGAGUUAACCAACUGCCGGCGCCCGCACCUUCUAUUUGCCUUGGAUUUGCACCAAGCUUGAGUCAUCACGUUCAAACAGAGGGGAGGGAGCAGGGGAAAGAGCUUCAUUUUCCAAGAAGGGCAUUCCCAUACCAGGACACUUUUAAGUUCUUACCAGGAAAAGGAGCCUUUUUGAAACGAGGUGGGUGGGUGCGUACCUUCUCUGAAGGGGAAACAGGAUCUGCUCAGAUCCAUACGUAAUCACAAACAACUGGGCUGCACCGGUGUCCGAAUGAAGCAGGACCUCCGGGUACAGCGGGUCACGUCUGCCUUUUCAGACAGAUUUAAUGGAGCUGCAGCAGAACUAACCUCGUGCCAUAGGUGGGACUGAGGGCUUUUAUAGUAGCAGGCUAUCAAAGGAACGUGAGGAAUGCGGGGUGUAAACAGAUUAGAUCUUUUUCCCCUUCUUGUAGAAAGGCCUAGGUUUCUUCCCUUUCCUCCGAGGCUUGAGAAAUUGAAAUGAAAUCCCGAAGCAUGCAUGUUACUCAAGCGCACUCCGUCCCCAGCCUGGGAUUCAAAGCCAACAAUUCACAGGUUUUUCCUGUUUAAUCAGGGGUUGUGCAGGAACUCGGUGGAGCCUUGGAACCGGAUCCACUGGCCGUUUGGGUUGAGCUGGAACGAAAUUGACCUGCAGCAUAUUAACCCCUCACUUUGCUAUUUCACCCGUUUGGAAGCGUCGCUCCUACAAUUACCGAUGCUACCCACUGGCCAUGGCUCCGCUAAUGGAUUUCCUACCCUAGACCCACAUCCACGUGUCAGGUCUGCACAUGCACAGUGAAGGCAGAAGGCUGUUCCCGGGGCUGAGCGGGGCCCGAAGGUCAGCAGGAGGCUCGGGUGGGAGCGGUGAUGGAGCGAAGGGACUGGAAGAACGGAAGGAGGUGGACGCUGGGGGACACACCUGUCACAGUUGUGUGACCUGGAAGGGCUCGAUACCAGCUUAAAAUCAUCACAAAUGCUCUUCCCUGCAUUCGGAAGCCUUAUUUCGUCCUGCUGGGGGAUGUUUCCCAAAAGGGCUGGCUGAAAUUAGGGACGCCCCAAGAGACAGGAGAGCCUGCCUGAUGCCAUGGAGUCAACGCACAAAGAUUCGGGGCAAGAAAUAAACACAGGAGCGAGCCACUUCGGCUCUGCAGGAAUUACAUCACCAACCGGGAGAGCUGGGAACGAACCCCAACUCCUGAGCUGUACCCGGGCAUGCCGAGUUGGACUCGAUGACCCUUACGGGUCCCUUCCAUCUUUUAUUAUUCUGUGAAAUAAAAGAUCAGAUUUCUGAGCAGAGCAUUCCUCGUGGCCUCUUCCCACCUGGAAACACGGGCCGGGACGUUGGGAACGAGGUGCUGCCCAGAGUCACCCCAUGAGAGCCACCAAACCUACGUCUGCCCGGCUCCAGGCCCACGCUCACUCCACGUGCCCACGGUGUUUCCAUCCACGGUAUUUCCAAACGAUGCUUUUCUCCUUCAGGGGUGAUGGGAUCCUCAGCCCACAACAACCCCUGUGAGGAACACAGCUGCCCUCUUCCACGGUGAAAAGAGAAGGGGGAAGGCUCUGCGGGAGCAACACUUGGCUCCAACGGCCGUGUCUGGAACCCGCUGUCACACACAUCUCUAGGAUAUGCAAACAGCCCCGCACGUGGUUGUGACGCGGAUGCGUUCACCCACACCUAAAGCAAAAAGCAAGAAUUGAGACGAAGGAAAACCCCACGGAACCAUACAGGGGGAUGAUGGGGCAGGUCUGGAAAGGGAGCAGCGAGGAACGCAUUCGACACCAUUUAAAAAGGGCUUUUGUGUGUGUGUCUCUAUUGAAGUGUGACUUCAAAGACUCUCUCAGUGCACGUACAGGCGAAGGCUCCCCACCAGCAACGUCCUCCUUGACAAAUGCGUGCAAACCCUCCCAGGCACCUCAAGAGAAACCUUCCCCAGACCCCCCUCCGUCACCAGCAAGCCUCCCGGGGCUGUGUUUGUACGACACGGCCGCUUCCAAAGCAAACAGACACCAUCAAACCGCAGCGGCUAUUCCAUAUUGAGAUGCAUCAAUAAAAUGUGAUUUAUAGCAUUGUCACUGGAACGUUUUGUCCUUAUCGAGCUCGAGAUAAGAUAGGAGGCAUUGAGAAAGGCUCGUUAAAGCGCAGUCUGGCAGUCAGCACAUUAACGAACUUGCUUUUCAAAGCUUAUUAGCAAAGAGACAACCGGUAUAAAGGAACAGCUUGCAGGAGUGGGCGUGCGCUGGGAGAGGGAGAGCGGUGGUUACACCGUCACUUCUACCUUCAGGAAGCCCGCUUGUUUUAUGAUCCUGAAUUAUUCCAGAGCUCCCGUGCGGACGAAGAGCUCGCUGGGCUCCUCCCAUCCGUAUCUUUUUCUGGUUCAAAGUGUAAAGGGAGUAUUUCAGAAGCUGUUGGAGUUUUUCCUCCUUUAGGAGCGCCCUGAAGCGGUGCUUGGUUUGCAGGGCAGAAGGCCCGGGCUUGAAGUGAUAUUGAUAGGGAAGGCCUUGCACAAAGAAGCACCAAACCGUGCGGUGCCGGUAGCAUCGCGAGCUCUGCAAGGAGACUGUUUUGCAGCGCUCAGCCUCACAACCCUUGGCGCGCAAAGUUUUCAGCCUCCGAGUCCCUCUGGCACCAACGGAACGCUGAGUUACAUCCUUCAGGUUCGGGACAUCCCCUUCUAAGUCGCUUUGCUUUCGUGCCCGUGCCCUCUGACUUCUGCCCCCCCCGCCCUUUCCCCCACCUGGAUGAGCCGACCUUCUCGUCCUCUUCCUAUUUUUGAGCGUGUGUUAAGAUAAGGCAAACAGAUAAGCGAUCUCUCCCACAGACAUUUACUUGCAUCAUCGGAACAUUUACUCCAAUUAGAGCACCAAAGACCCCAGUCUCUCCAUCCCCUUUAACUCCAUUGGUAAGGUCAAUAUUUGCCCGGCGGUUGCUCCCACCGCCCGGGCAGAGGGGACAGACAGAACAGACAUCAGGGAACAGAUCGCUUUUCAUCGUGCGGUCAUUUGAAAGCGGUCUGCAAAUGGACAUGCACUGCAGAACUCAUCACGAGAGAAACGACAGCACGGGAGCUGUCGAGGCGAGGGCACGGGGAAUUCCCCCGCUUGAAAUGUCAAGCACCAAGGCCAGGCGUCUUCUAGGAAGGCACGUCUCCGUGUAGGGAUGGUGGCUGGCCGCCAGCUUCAAGAGGAGGGCAGGAGGAAGAGCUGCCUUCUCUCAUCGCAGUCGUUUGAAGAGGUGGUCCGUCUUCCAAAGCAACAAUGCUUAGGUGAACCACUUAAGGGCAAGGCGCUCCUACGGCCAAAGCCAUCCGAACCGUUGGGUCUGAAGGAGGGUGCUCCAUAAAGGAGAAAGAGGAACGGCUUCCCAAGAGCCAUUCUCCGCUCUCAGUGGGCACUGCAGGACCUCGGGCUUUCCGGUGGACCCGGAACAAAACCCCACAGCUUAAGCGUGGUGAACGGCUGCUGACACCUGGUGGUGAGGUCCACGGGCCAACCCGGAGGAUGGAGGCACCUGUAGGAGUUCUUGCGGGCAACGUCUGCAGAGCGAUGGGGUACAGAGAAAGACCGCAGCUGCAAAUGAGGAGCUCAAAACUGUCACACGAAGCGGCUGUGGGAGAAGCGACGCGGCGGCUUUAGGAGCCAUCAUCUGUAUGUUGAACACCACUGUGGCCCUUUCCGUUAUCGCGUGAUGGGUGUUCUGAUCUACCGGGCUGCUUUGUCAGUUGCUUUGGAUGUACGCAAGCUUACUCGGCGCCAUCCCCCCAGGUGACUUCGAUGCAAGCAACUCAUUUCACGAUUGGGGCGUUCGCCCAUUCAUUCCACCCCAUUCAGUGGAGGAGCUGAAGAGGCGUCGUUAACUUCUCCUACAGCAUGGAAACAAACCUCCCACCGCAGCUGCUCGGGAUAGGGGAAAGCAUCCAGCAAGCCAAGGCGCUUGGGGAAAAGGAGGCAGCUCCAGACAAAGCAUCUCUUCCGAGGCUUUAAAGUCCAUUUGAUGUCUGCUUGCAAAUGGGAGGAAUCAUUAUGAAUGCAUGUGAAGCGAUUAGCAAACAUCCACAUCUAUUAGGCAUAAAGGAAAAAUAACCAGACCGAAAUAGCUGUCAGAAUGGCUCCCUUUGCUCCUUUAUGUUAUUGGAGCUCAUCGUUUGCAGAAACUCAAUCUCGGCUCUUUAAAUGAGCAUAUGGUGGGGAAACAAGAGGGAAAGGCGAAACGUUUCUGCCCGGCUUCAGGCGCAGAGCAGGCUUUGCGCGAUCAGAGCAGGGAGGUUGCCGAACGUAAACACAGUAAUUAAGGCACUCAUCCUAAUUGCAGGCAGUUAAUUGCGCUGUACGCUGCAUAAUUGAGCCACCCUGGGCAGCGCGUGGCUGGAAAUCCCUCGUGCGUUCUUUAGUCCGACUCCUAUAGGAUCCUCCAUACCCGCGCUGGCUUUUCAUCCUCGCUCAACUCUUUGGCAUUAGAACUGGGCCCCGAACCUUCGUUUUCUUACAGUGAAACGUAUUCACACGAGGUACGCUCACGGCUCCCAGCCAAACCUUUGGAUCCACCCGAGCAGCUCAGCCCACACGUCUCCCUUCGGCCGCGGGGGGAGAUGGAGCACUCCCUGCUGAACCCGAGGGGGGAACUCAGGAAAUUCCGAGCUCACCCCGUACGCGUGGCCCUCGGUGGGGCCGCGCGGGUACCGCUAGGUGUCACCCCCCGCCCGCCGACGGACCCGGUGCCGCCGCAGGGUCACCUCGCGGGGCGGUGACCGUCGCCGGCUUUCGAGCACGGCCUCCCGUUGCCCCGAGGGAAGGUCGGUUGGAUGUCCCGAAGAAUUUCUUCUCCGACAGAGCGGCGAUGCGUCGGCUGCCCCAGGAGGCGGGGCGGUCCCCAUCCCUGGUGGCGCGAGACGCGGCACGGGGGGACGUGGGCAGUAUUGGCGGCAGGCGGGCCAUUGGGCUGGAUGACCUUUGAGGUCGCUUCCAACCUCAUGGCUCUCUUUAGACACGCCCGGGGCCAACUCCAUCCUGCACGCUGCUGUCGGCUCUGAGGUCUGAUCGGAGGCCUUCUCCUUUCCCUCGAGGCGCUGCUCGGCCGCUGUGUUGCUGCAGGGGUGCUGCGUGAGCGCAGAGCACAGCCGGCUUUGUCCACCCCGACAGGCUCGCCUUUCUUCCUGCCUAGAAACACCGCUGCGGGACUCGCCCCCCCCCCAGGGAAAGCAGAAGCUCCAGCGCGGGGCUGGGGACUAGAAGAGCCCCGUUAUGUGCUACGGAACAAAGGGAACAUAGAGCGAGAAGCCACCUCGCUUCGCAGAGCACCCCGGCUCCCACUCCAGCUGCUCCGUGCCGGGGGAGCAGCAGCACUGAGCCCUCCCGGGUCCCGCAGAGCUGCAAAGGAGCACGAGGGGCAGGUGCAGAGAGUGCAGGCGUAAGGAGGAGCCGGCAGCACCGCCGGACCGCAGGUUGUCAGACAGACCCCGCCAUCUCAUAACGUUAGGGUUGCAGAGAUGCAUCAGCAUCACUCCGGACGGCUUCUCUGCCGCCGUAGGCCAACGCUUUGCUCAAGCACGUGAAUCUAACAGAUAGAACUCCCCCCUCAACCCGCCGUGCUUUGAAACGCACCCAGCAACACCUGUCCCCAGCAGAGCCAGCCCUGCCCCACGUCGGAGCUGGGUUCCGUCGGGCUGGGUGUGGAGGUGCCGGCCAGCAUCUCUGCACGACAGCGAGCCUGAGAAGCUAAUUAGCGCCCGUUUGCUGCUUUCAGAGAGGAGAUUCUGAGCGCUGUUGGUAAACUCAUUUCAAGGAGUCGCACUCAAUUUGCAGUGACGGAUGCUCAUCGUGGCUUUGUUCCCACAUCUACAAAGAGCAGCGCCGCAGAGGGGCUUUGAUGAUCCCUCUCGUUUGGACAGCUGGCAGGGAGCAGGAUGCACGCAGGAAUAGAAGGGCACACGGGAGCCACGGCGUCCCCUUCACGAGAGCAAACGGAGAGGCUGGGCGUCUGUAAAGUGGGGGAUGUGGGGUUCUAUCCUAGUGAUGCAACUGGAAAGUGAAAGCUCUCGCACUGCGUGGGAGAGCAGAAAUCCGCUCUGCGUCUUGAAAUAGUUGCACGUGAAGUCCUGCCCUCAACUUGCGACCUGCAACCUGCACGGCAUGGCUCUCAGGAGCCCAUUGUAGGGGCGGUUGUUGCACUGCUGGGCUCCUCCAGCUCUUGGGGGUCAGCGUGGCAUCGCACACCCAGGGACGUUGGCGUCAGGGGGAGCCAAGCCCAGCAUCGUCAGCACAGCUGUCAGGGCCCCGGCUGGGCCCUAAUGAGGCCCCCAGGUGCCACAGGGCUGGGCUGCCCUAGCACAGCUGCGCCUUAUCGGCAGCUCAGGGCAGGGCCCGCCCUCAACGCCUCUUAAACCCCCACCAGAGCUUGCUGGGAUCCACUGGGGGCUGCUGGGAGCUCAGGGGCUCAUUCAGGGCUUGCCGCAGCAUGCUGCCAGGCUCCCACACUGCUCUCUCUUUUUGGGGAGGGUGCUGGGCUUCUGCUGGGCUUUUUUGGGGUCUGGUUUCUGCUGGGCUCCUCUGCUCUUUUGGAGUCAUCGUGGGGUGGCCCUGCUGGGCUCUGGCCUUGUUUUCUUCUUUUUGGUGGUGGUAUGGGAUUGCUGUUGGUGCCCCUGCCCUCUUUGGGUCCAGCACAGGGCUGCUCUUGGCUCCCCUCUGCUCCUUAGAGCCUAUGCAGCACUUUUGCAAAGCAGCUCUCCUAGCCCCUUUGUGGGGUUAGUUAAGGGCAGUUUGCAGGUGCCGCAGCAAUGGAGGAGAGCAGGAUGGAGCUGCACCCCUUAGCCCGGAGCUGCUGGGGGUCAGAAGCAUCGCAAGGGGCUGCUUUCAAAACAGCAAAUGCUGGGGAUAUCCAUUUAAUCACGUUUGUUCUCUCUCCUUUUUGUUUCUCUCUUGCAGGGCGAGAGCUCCAGCGAGGAUCAGCCCGCAGUACCGAGCGGCUGUGGCAGCGAUGGGAGCGUGGAGCUGAGUCCCGGGGGUCCGGGCGAGCACGUUCCCUCGUGCCCAGACCCCGGGGGCUCUUUGCUUGCAGCAGGAGGAUCCUUUUGCCCUUCUAUUGGGGUCGAUGCAGUGCUGCUGCUGGGCUCCCUACCUUCUUUUUCUGGGUUCUGCUGGACUCCCCAAGGCAGAGCGCAGCCCUGGGGGUGCCCACUGCCCCCCUUGGUUGCAGCAGCGGGGGCGUGCAGGAUGGAACCACGGUUGUCCCCUCCCCAGCCCUAUUGCUGCUGGGAGUAAGAAGCAACGCCAGGGACAGCUAAGUUGAAAGCAGUGCUUUAAAUCACUUGCUGUGCUUUUAUCUUUUUGAUUUCCCCAAAAAGCUGUUGCAAGGUAAGGUGCUUUGCAGCAGGGAUCAGCCCAGAGAUGCAAGGUUCCCGCUGCACUGGGACCGCAGAGACGAGCACUGGGAUGUGGCGGUGUGAAUCUUUAGUUUUACUCAUGAAUUUUGUUCACAGAACCACAGGAUUGUAGGUGCUGGAAGGGACCUCCGGAGGUAAUGAAGUUAACCCCUCUGCAAACUGCAUCAUAGAGGUGCUCCAGGCCCUGCAUCGUCUUUGUGGCCCUCUGCCAGACUUCUUCCAGGAGAUCCCUCUCUUUGUUUGUACUGAGGAGCCUGGAAUGGGAUGCAGUACUGCAGGUGUGCAGCUCUGCAGCCCUUCCUGUGGGACGGCAGCACAGCCUUCCGGUGCAUCAGCUGCUCUUCCAAGGCCAGUUCUCAGCCCACCUCCCUGCCCACUCAUGUUGGGAUGUUGCGGGAGGAAAAAAUCCAGCAGCAUUUCUGAUUCAAGGUAGAUGACAUCUGCUCUCUCCUCCGUCUGCAUGCCUGGCGAUGCCAUUGUGGAAGACUGAGGUUGGUAGAGCACAUCUUCCCCUUGGUGAAUGCAUGCUGACUGUUUCUAAUCCCUUUUUUUUUCUUUAUAGGGCCUUGGUUUGUGGGUUUCACUACAGCAGCGGCCCCUCAGAGGAGGUUUGAGGAGCUGUUCUCGCCACAGGGGCAGGGCUGGAGCAAGGUCCUGGUGCCCUCUGUCUAAGGGAGGAAGGCUGCCAGCUGUGCCCUUGUCCCCUGUUGGGGUUGUGGGGUGAUGGAGCUGCUUGGCGUCCAGGAGGAGCUGAGGGGAUCUGGCAGCUGUCUGAUGUUUUGUGUUCCUGAUGGGAGCAGUGGCUUCUGUGAGCAGUGCCAAUUGUCCAGCUUUCCCAGGGUGUGGAGGAGCAGCAUGAUGGGGGCUCCCCGUGCGAGACCAAGGAUUUAAGCUGCUGCUGCUCAGAGUGGUGUGGUUCCCCUUCUGUCUGUGGUAAGCUUGAGGUGGAAACAGAAGUGGUAGAUUUCAAAUGUCUGCAGGAGAAGAGAACAUGCUUAGCAAGGCAACUCAUGAGGUUUGAUGUACAGAGAAAAGAAAUCUGGCACUCACCCUCUAAUGCUUGGAGAUCUGCUCUUCAUCCUCUGCUCCCUCGAAGCUGCUUUAUUUCAGGUACCCUUAUGCAUCUAGAAGAAAGCAAGUAGCCUGCAUUGAAGAAUGUUUUCCAAUAUGUACAAGUUUGUAUUGAUAUUGAUGGUUAAAUGUUAUUAAUAAAUGGGAAAGAAUAAAUAUUUGUUACAGCUGACUGCUAUCAUUACACUGUGUCUCUACAUAAGAGUAUGUCUAUAUGUUGUUUCUUCUAGAAGCAUGCAAUACAGAACAAGGUGAGCACUGAGAAAGCUGUAGGUCCUGGGAGCUCUGCAGAGUCCCUUCCACUACAAACAGUGCU
ensembl:lncRNA